AUCGGCUAACUCCGUGCCAGCAGCCGCGGUAAUACGGAGGAUGCGAGCGUUAUCCGGAUUUAUUGGGUUUAAAGGGUGCGUAGGCGGAUAGAUAAGUCAGUGGUGAAAUUCUGCAGCUUAACUGUAGACUUGCCGUUGAUACUGUCAGUCUUGAGUAUGGUCAAGGCAGGCGGAAUGUGUAAUGUAGCGGUGAAAUGCUUAGAUAUUACACAGAACACCGAUUGCGAAGGCAGCUUGCUGGGCCAUUACUGACGCUGAUGCACGAAAGCGUGGGGAUCGAACAGGAUUAGAUACCCUGGUAGUCCACGCCGUAAACGAUGAUCACUCGCUGUUGGCGAUACACAGUCAGCGGCUAAGCAAAAGCAUUAAGUGAUCCACCUGGGGAGUACGGCCGCAAGGCUGAAACUCAAAGGAAUUGACGGGGGCCCGCACAAGCGGAGGAACAUGUGGUUUAAUUCGAUGAUACGCGAGGAACCUUACCUGGGCUUAAAUGUAGAGUGCAUUGGUGAGAAAUCAUCAUUUUCUUCGGAACUCUCUGCAAGGUGCUGCAUGGUUGUCGUCAGCUCGUGCCGUGAGGUGUCGGGUUAAGUCCCAUAACGAGCGCAACCCUUAUCGUUAGUUGCCAGCGGGUAAUGCCGGGGACUCUAGCGAAACUGCCGGUGUAAACCGAGAGGAAGGUGGGGAUGACGUCAAAUCAGCACGGCCCUUAUGUCCAGGGCUACAUACGUGUUACAAUGGCCGGUACAGAGGGCAGCUACCUGGAGACAGGAUGCGAAUCUCGAAAGCCGGUCUCAGUUCGGAUCGGAGUCUGCAACUCGACUCCGUGAAGCUGGAUUCGCUAGUAAUCGCGCAUCAGCCAUGGCGCGGUGAAUACGUUCCCGGGCCUUGCACACACCGCCCGU
rnacentral:rRNA from 1 species